rnacentral:lncRNA from 1 species
GAUGCUGUUCCCUGAUUAUGACCGAUCUGGACGCCGUGUUCCCCCAUAUGCCCUGGCUCUGGCCGUUGUUUCUCAUCCGAUCUGAAUCUUGGACGACGCCAUCUUCAUCCGAUAGAUGAACGCAAGGUAUUCCCCUCCUCCUCCUCCGCCUCCUCUUGCACUAAUAAACUCUACACUUUUUUGCCGCACCCUCCCAAUCCCAGCGCACAAAUUUCUGCUCCUGUAUCUCUAGUUAUUUUCCAUCUAACCUGUUCUAUCUCUAUCUGCUUUUUUGCAGGCGGAAAGGCUCGAUCUUUAUGCAUCUCAACUGUCUCUUAUGUAGUUUAUGGCUCAAUCGCUCCCAGAUCAGGUAUCCUUCAGCAUUUGUAGGUCGUUUCGCUUGGUCCAGUUUUGUACGCCUCUCAUGUUUUUACAUGUUUAUAUCAAGGAUAUGUUUCCACUUUGGAUCAGGCCAUGUGCAGACUCAUGCCAUGAUUUUGUCAGAUUGUUUUUUAUCGAUCUAUUCUAUCUUCACUACAUACUCACAUGAGAGGGUUCCAAACACUCAAAUGAAAUAAAUUAUCCACACAAGGAGCACAACCGCAAGUCUGGGAGAAUAUAAUCUUUUGAAAGUGAUAGCAUUCAGAUUCACUAGUAACCGUAUUGAAUACGCGUUUCUUUGCCACUCAACCAAACAAGAAGCGGCACGUCCAAAGUUCAGACCUAAUGACACAGCCCACAACAGCUUGAUCACAUGACAGUGAAUGAAGUAAUAAGUGAGAAAUAGACUAUGAUUUAGCACAUGAUAAAAUUGAACUCUUAUGGAACUCAUAUUUAUUUAAUUUCCAAAAAAUUCCACCUUUUGGAAUCGUACAGAAGCAAAAUGUCUCAGAUCUAACCGAAUCACCAUCAACCAGUCAUCACAAAACCCCUCUGAAAAGACAGUUGGAGGCCAACGCAGUGCCAGAUAUCAGCGAUAGUGCCGUUUUGACAGAUUCUCUUGCGGUUCCUAUUUCAGUUUAACUUGUAUGCGAUCGUUUUAUUGCACAUCAGCUGCUAGUAUGGUUCAAAUUGUUCCUAGAAAUACUUUUUGAAGAUCCGGAGUUUAAAGAGUAGAAGAUCUGCAGCUUAAAGAGUAUUUUGUGAACUUUGGAUGCACAUAAGUGCUGCUCAAGUACAUCUAUGAAGAGCAAUAAACAGUUCACACAUACUGUUCAUAUUUCAUAGUGCAUGAACUCCACAGCAAGUAACAUAAUUCCUGAAGAAUCCAGUGACAUUCAUAUUAUCCAUGCGGGAUGUAAAUUGUCCUUGCUUGCUAGAUUUAUAUGAUUUUUUGGCAGAGACCAUUUUUAUCAGGUGAACAACGUGGUAUUACCUUUACAUGUAUAUGUAGAUCAGGCUAUCUAUAAGUCAGACCGUUGCUGUAACCUCACCUUGAUUAGUAAUGAUGUGGAAAAAAACAUUAACUUGUUUAUUAAGCGGUGGCCCUUGAUGGCUAAUUUAGAUUGUAGAGCAUCUUGGAAGAAAUUGACAUCAAAGAUGAUUGUAUCUGAAAUUGGACAAUUAAGAGGCUUACUCUACAAUAGCUGAAAUGAUUUCCAAGUAUGGUGUCGGAAUCAAAGAAAAAAUAAUAUAGAAGAGUGAGCUUUACCAACAAGGUGAAAUGCACCAGCAUUUGUGGCCUUAUUAUCAGUUUUAUGAACCUCAACCAGUGCAGUUUGGAAAUGUCAUUUAUCUCCUGCUAAUUUCAUUGUGAAUCAGAAUUAGAUUUUUCUGAAUGAGGCAUGAGGAAAAUUAUGCUGAAAGGCAGUUCAAGCAUGGAGGGCACUGUAAACAAGUUAUUUUCAUUAUUAAAGGUGCAGUAGUUAGUUAAUUUGUUAUACUGGACAGUAGUAGAGAAAUGCCUGCAAACAAAAAAACCCCUUCAAUUUUAAGUAUAGCUGAUCCAUACCUCAGUGUACAUAAAUAACUGCACUCGAGUAAAUUCCAAUAGCAAUAGGUCAAAGUGCCAUGUUUUGUAGAUCUGUAAGUGUCAUAGUACUACAACUGACGAGUUGUGUCGUCAUUGAAAACAAUUCAACAUACAACAGUGAACAUUAGCUUACUUUUCAGUAAACCUAACUGCUUGUUGAUUGGAACUUUGCAACUACAAAUAUCCAUCAUCGAUGAAAUAUAGUGAAUUUGCCACUUAUAGUGACUUCUGUUGCCUCUAAGAAAGGAUUUGCAGUUUUACUUUUGUUGCUUGCAACAAUCUUACUGAGAAUAUUCAGAUGUAUUUCUUCUGAACAUGACACUCAACUGCCACGGGGAACCACUCAACAUUGGUAGAGUAACCAAUAUACCAAUGUUGUUACAGAGCAGGCUCACGCGUACAUAUAUUGCAACUUACCUCAGGGUGUCAUGACCUGGAACUGAUCAUAGGGUGCAACAAAACUUGCAUGUAAAAUGUCCGCUACAGUUAAUAUCUGGUAAAUAAGUACAGCAAAUGAAAUUGAGCUCGUGCUAAAUUUCAAUGUCAUUGCUGCUGGUGUUUUCCAGGGUUAUCCUUAUUAUACCCAAUCACAAAGGGAGUACUAAGGGAGUCCUAUCUUACCACCUAAGUACUGCCUUACUUUGUGGUCACCUAGAUGUUCGGUUGUUGCCCCAAACUUUGGAUUAAAUACCUCCGAAUCUACACCAAUAUGAUGUCCUUUUGCCUGCUUCAGUUUCUACCUCUAAUCCAUUGGAUUAUAUCGCUAGGUUGGUAAUCUGCUUUCCAGAGUACAAGUUUUGGCUGGUUUUUAUUUGUUUAUAAGCUGGUUUUUAUCUGAGUGUAUGUUCAUGCAGAGAAAGUUAUCAAGUUUAUUUUUAAUUUUAUAUUGAUGUCAAGCCUUAAUGGGCGCACCUUAAGCUUAUCCUUUGUUCUUUUAAAUCUGGUCCGAAGGAAGGACGGUACAGGAAGUUAUGAUUUGUUUCAGGCGUAUAUAGAUUGUGUCAAGGUUUCUAUGCAUGGGCUUCCUUUCUUGUGCAUUUUUGUUGGUUUACAAUGCUAAAUAUGAGUUCGUCAUUGCUAAAUCAUUUUCUGCUAGAUGCUAGGUUUGUAGUAAACCUGACUGUUGCUUUGACCGUCAAUCUGUGAACCCAUUUUCUGGUAGAUGAAGUGCACUAAUCGACAACAGAUUUUUUCUGUCUGAAACCUGAAUUUGGAAUCGCCAAGCCCAAACAGACCUCCUAACAACAUGCAGAGCUGGCCAUACUCAUUGCAACACUGUAUCGUGUCGGAUCACAUAGGCACAUUUGUGAAAUAGGCAUGCGUGUGCUUCUGCUACUGCCACUUCAUGCUGAAGCCAGCUAAAAUUGUAUUGUCACCUUAGCACUCAGAACCAGAAUUCCUAGCAUUACAUAUACAUCCUGCCCAACUGGGCAUCAAGUGAAAGAGAUGAUAGGUAACAGUAGUUACUAACUCCGUAUCAACCGUAUACGUCCAUAGGAUACUUAAGGGUAUCGCCCAACUGGGCAGCAAUCGGAAGUAAUCACAGAGUACGCAGUUCGGUAUCAAUGUAGCUAAGCGAGUUCACUGUUCCCAUAGCAAGCAUAUGCAUGUCUUAUCAUUCAGUAGCAGCCUUUUAUGCUGCUCAGGAAUGGCGCUUCAUGGAGUUCCUGUGGGCUUUCUUUCUUUUAGCUUCGGUGUCGGCCUUCGCCUUUGCACCCUUACACCAGUUUUGGUGCGUCAGUAUUGCUUCGAUGCUGUAGAAGGUAUUCGUGCUACACUUGUUGCAGGUAACAAGACCCCCAAUGUCUCCCUUGAUAGGCUUUGGCACGUGCUUCUUCCGCAUCUUCCUUCCUGCACAACACAUCACCAAAUGUAUAUAAGCAGUUGGUGUAAAACACCCCUUUGUAGCUAACCAUGACUGUUAUCAUGCAAAUUCGAUGGAUCUAAGCUUUGAGGCGAGAAAAAAAAUUAGUACUAACUUAAGGUUAAGCUUCAUGAUAUAAUGCAAUUGUGCCAGAAAAAAGAGGAUAUAGAUGUAAAGUCUGUUUAUUCUCAUUCCCACUAGUACUAUUAGUUGUAGGUGUCACUGUUCUCUUUCAUUUCUUCCUGCACAAACAUCACCAGAAUAUAUAUAUAUAUAUAUAUAUAUAUAUAUAUAUAUAUAUAUAUAUAUAUAUAUGCACAUGGUGUAACACUUGUUUGUAGGUAACCAUGAAUGUGAUUAUUGAACUUCCUUGCAGCUGACUAUUGCUGUGGAAAGAAAUUUAUGUUAUGUCUUUGCAGACAUGACAUGUCAACUACAACUUCCAAGCAAGCUGAGACACAUCUUCAAACAGAAAUAAAAAGAAAUGAUCUUCCCAAGCUGCAUAUAGAGAUUUCAAAGAGUCCAUUCAGCUUUUAGCGUUUUGGCUGUCAGUAACUUUGCUCCUGUGCUGGCAUUAAAAAGAAUAAAUACGGGAGCAACCACAAUAGAGAAUAGGUUUGUGGUAGAAAAAUAGAAAAAGCGGUGCUAACCUACAAAUCUUCAACACGGUUGUUCAUUUUCCUGGUAAAUAGAUAAAUGUUAACAUUGUUUGCUAUUUGUGUUGCAUCCCAGUUUUACUAUAUCAAGUAAAUUUAUGCUUUAUCUGUACAAUUCUAUUUUCCUGUACUUGUUCAUCUCAAAUCUGCUCGUGUGUGAAUGAUGCAUUUUAGUAACUUUGGUUUGUUGGUGUACUGCUCCUGUUCUUGGUGUUUUGGUACUCUAAUUUGGAACUUCUGUUUCACUGUUACCUAAUCAGGAGAACCAAGUUGAAGGGUUGGAUAAUCUUAGGGUCUUGAAGUUUAGGACACUUCACUAAAAAGCUCAGUACCUGCAGUUCCAAGAAAGUAAACUGCAACAGGCCGCCGAGCAACAGUAGUGUUUCCCAGUUAUAUAUGUAAAACUAGCUCUCAAAGUAUUAAAGCUGCUGGUAUACAUCCAUUUUAAUUUUAAGUGCACAGCUUGAGGGCAGUGCCAAGAUCUGUGUGCCAUGCAUUUCUUCAUAAAUCAUAAUAAACAUUAUACUAUUUUAAUACAGAUUAAAAAGCAUAUAUGUAGCUGUUAUGCUAUACCACAACAGAAAUAAGCACUAAUACUUCAGAAACCAAAAUAUAGUGUACAAAAAGUAUUUUAACAGAGAACAAUAGGAAGUGUCAUAGUAUAUGGAUUAUAUUCCCAAAAUGGUGGCAUCUAGGGCAAACAAUUUGUGCAUCGUAAUACUCAGGGUCAACAAUAGGAAGUGUCACAGUAUAUUUUCUGAAUUUCGGAUUCACAAACUGUUGUCGUAGGUUGUGUUCUUUAUCUGGUCCAUGUGCCUAAUGUCUGACAUAAAAGGAUGAUCUCAUUUCUGACUUUGUAAUUCUCAUCUCAGGAUCCAGUAAUGGUUGCAAUGACCGCAGCAUGUGCACCAGCACUAUCAGGUGAGAACAUUGGUCUAAGUACACUUAUGUACCUAACAUUCUGUUAGUCCCUUGUGUGAUGUUGUUUGCAAGAAAAUUGUUUGUAGCUGUGGAAUCGGUCAACAGCAUUAAAAAUCAAGAUUACAGCGAUGCUACCUCAUUUGCAGCGAUUAAUUCCCCCAUGCUUCUAAUUGAUGACUUCAGUACUCCAAAACAGAAACAAUCAUUCUCUACACUGCUCACAACCCGCAAUACCGGUUGAAUGUGCAUGGCAUCUGUCUAAUAGUAGUUGAAUUUUAGUUUGCUUCAAAAUAUAUUACUAACAUGUGACAGAAAGUGAGAUCUCAUAAGUAAAUAACAUGUAGUAUUUUACAGAUCAAUAAGGUAUUAUGUUUGUGACACAAGGUCGAUGGUAUUAAACUUCCAAUUUGUCCUGCAGGGUUCUCUGUAUAAGCCCCAGUGUAAUAGCUUGUAAUAAUAUGCAUCUGCAAGGCAGUCAUAAAACUCCCUUUAAAUUGCCUGAUGCCACUUGUUUGUCUUUCUCAUUUAUGCUUUCAACUAAUCCUUGAAAUUGUAAUACAUUGAUCGUAGGUCUAUGCAUGCCCGUGUAAGCUUUAACCCUGUGUGAAUCUGUAGCCUACAUUCCUAUUUUUCUCAAGGUAACCCAGAUUUACUUUUUGCAUGCCCAAUAUGUUUGUAUCCAUGUCCAAUAAUUGUCCUUUUUAGACGGGUAAAGUCAAAUUUAUAAUUGUAACCUUGGGUCAUAAUCUCUAACCUUCACCACUAUGAAACCUUUAUGAGCUGGUUUUUAUGCAAGCAGCUAAGGUCCAUUCAAUGGUAUGAACAUGAAUGUUUGUCAGUUGUUAGAUUUUUUUUUUGAGUUAGAACAUAUGCGUCUUAUACUGAUCUCUUGCGAAAAAUGAGUUCUAUGUUGUACUCUCUGUUAGAUUUAUCCUGCUAUCACAUGCCAUUUUUAUUUGAUUUGAAAACUCCCAUGUAGAAGCUGGAAUGUCAGCAUCGACCUCAUGCGUACUCGGAAUUUUAUCUUAAGUUUGACAUCUAGGUUAUGUAUCCUUGGUUGGAGCGGUGAAUGAGGUUGGACAUAAUGAAUGUCUCUCUCCUCAAGAUAUGGUAUUUG